CCAGGGAGAGGUCAGCAGAGGACCCAGCCAGUGAGCUUGCCCUCUGGUGGCCCACAGCAGAGGGCAGGCUUCUCAGGCAUUCAGGACAUUUGCACAGCUUUGAAGGU
ensembl:miRNA